GCUCUUUCUCCCAGUCUCUUCCACAAGUAGUCUGACUCACACAAUCUAUUAAGCAAACCACAAUUCUUGUACGGGUCUCAAUAUCCCCUACGCCACUGAGUCCCCGAGAAGGAGUUAUUGCCCAAGGGCCUGGCCAGGAUGAAAUUGAUGUACUACACAGAAGCUGCUGCCCAUCUUCAUAGAGUGAAAUAUACACUGGCCCAGGAGCCAUAGAAGCAGAAGGAGAAUCCAGGGGAGAAUAUAUUAAUUGCAGACCCUCUGCUGCCCAGCUGGUCCAAGUUCAGUCAGCAGAAAGCAACAACAGUUUAAUCCUUUUAAAUGUUAGUUAAGACUUAUGUCUGUUGCAACCCAGGAAUGCCUUGCUCAAGGGCCUGGGAACCAACUCACUGAAAUGUCAUCCUUAAGGAAGAGCGUGCCCCUUUUACCUAGUGCCUAUGGGAGGAUGGAAGCCAAAGUUGAGCAGGCCGCUUGGCUCCAAAACUACCUCCUGUCAUAAAGAUGUAAGAAGUUUAUUUUUUCAAUGGAUAAAGCCAGUUAGCAUUCCA